GGGGAGUAUUGGACAAUGGGGGCAACCCUGAUCCAGCAAUGCCGCGUGGGUGAUGAAGGCCUUCGGGUUGUAAAGCCCUUUCGGCGGGGACGAUGAUGACGGUACCCGCAGAAGAAGCCCCGGCUAACUUCGUGCCAGCAGCCGCGGUAAUACGAAGGGGGCUAGCGUUGUUCGGAAUGACUGGGCGUAAAGGGCGCGUAGGCGGCGAUUUUAGUCAGGCGUGAAAGCCCUGGGCUCAACCUAGGAACUGCGUUUGAUACUGGAUCGCUUGAGUGUGGGAGAGGAUGGUGGAAUUCCCAGUGUAGAGGUGAAAUUCGUAGAUAUUGGGAAGAACACCGGUGGCGAAGGCGGCCAUCUGGACCACUACUGACGCUGAGGCGCGAAAGCGUGGGGAGCAAAC
rnacentral:rRNA from 1 species